rnacentral:rRNA from 1 species
GACGAACGCUGGCGGCGUGCUUAACACAUGCAAGUCGAACGGUGAACCUCUUCGGAGGGGCUCUGUGGCGAAGGGGUUAGUAACAGGUGGGCAACUUGCUCCCGGCCUUGGGAUAAGUCCAAGAUGUCGUGGCUAAUACUGGACGUUCACCGCUUCCCGCCUGGGUGGUGGUGGAAAGGGUUUUCGGCUGGGGAUGGGCUCGCGGCGCAACUGCUUGAUGGUGGGGUAGGGGCCUAACAUGGCGGCGACGGGUAGGCGGCAUGAGAGGUGGACCAGCCACAAUGCGACUGAGAGACGGAGCAGUCGGCAACGUGAGGCAGCAGGGGGGAAUAUGGCGCAACGGGCGGGAGCCUGAGGCGGCGACGCCGGGGGGGUGAUGACGUCCUGCGGGUUGUGAACCGCUUUCGGCAGAGACGAAGCGGUAGUGACGGUACCUGCAGAAGAAGCACCGGCUAACUACGUG